GCUACACAAGUGCAGAUCCUUUCGUGACGCCACACGUUCUGAUAAAUGUCAGUGAUUUUGUGUUUUGCUCCAUACCAAAAACACGCCGUGUAUUCCUAAAAUAAAAAAAACUUCUUCAACUUCCUUUCAGUUUUAUUCUAAUCUCCACAUUUCUUGUUCCGAAAUGGCCUCAUGCUGAUUUCCACCAACACGUCCGGUCUGAUCUUUUCUCCCGUGUUCGGUAUCACUGAGGGCAGUAAAGUUCAGACUUUGACUUCCAAGAACCUUCAAGUUGUUUUAUGGUCGUAUUCAGAAUAUAUUAACAAGCAGCAGGAGCUGCAGCAGCACUGAUCAAACUAAAGCCAGCAGUUAUCGCCAGUCGUCAUUUUGGGGUUUUUUGGCUUGUUGCUUUCUUCUCAUGAAGUUUCCACUGUAGCUGAUGUCUGGCAAACGUUGCCUCGCCUCUUCUGUGCAGAUGGAAAGCUGCGAGGGCCCGUCCUUCUCCCUCCACACACCCAGAUACAUCAGCUGGUGCGUAGACUCCCCCGUACCUGCGACCACAGUCGCUCCAGAAGAACAUUUAAGCCACAACCGGCAGCCGGCCGGUUCAGGAUCAGUUCCGCUUCUCCUCCUGUCGCCACCGGAAACCGACGCCACGUUCUCCCGUCAACGACCGCAGGCGGCGUUCACAGAGCGGAGUGGCGGGGGCGAGGAUGAUGAUGAUGAUGAUGAUGGCAACGAGGAGGGAACACAGUGGAGCAAAGAGGAGGUGGAGGAAAAAACCUUCUUCCUUCCCAGGAGCAGUCCGGUUAUCUCCAGACGCCACAGGCCCGUCUCGUGGCACGGAGAGGACACCGGCAUGUCGGCCCCGUCCAGCUUGGACUCCCCGACUCCUGCUCCCGUUUCGCCGACCGUCCCCAGCACGUCCGCUGGACAGCGGGCCAAGAAGCCGCUCUGCCCGCCUGCCUCCUCGCAGCUCAACCGCCUGCUGGGCCCCUGGGCCCGCCGGCCUUUUGGCGGGCAGCAGGGAUUGGCUGAGGGGGACGAGGGCCGGGGGCCGACCGGCUGUGAUGCCUCGGACUCAUCCGUCCCUUCAACCUCAGCAGAUCAUAGCAAAGAGAAAAGGUGCAGCCGCAUCCCAGAAGUCCCUGCAGACAUCUUUAAGACCAGUUGUGAUCUGGAAAAGGUGCGUUCAAUCAGUUACAGUAGUUUGGUACUUCAGAGCAGCAUCAGGGUCAUCGUGUCGCAGGGGGUAGAGUGGGUGCGCUGGGAACGGCAAGGUUGGUGGUUCGAGUCCCGGCUGCCCCAGUUGAAGUGUCCCUGA
ensembl:lncRNA